rnacentral:rRNA from 1 species
UACGUAGGGGGCAAGCGUUGUCCGGAAUCAUUGGGCGUAAAGCGCGUGUAGGCGGCCUAGUAAGUCCGUUCUGAAAGCCCGGGGCUCAACCCCGGACUUGCAGUGGGUACGGGCAGACUAGAGUGUGGUAGGGGAGACUGGAAUUCCUGGUGUAGCGGUGAAAUGCGCAGAUAUCAGGAGGAACACCGAUGGCGAAGGCAGGUCUCUGGGCCACUACUGACGCUGGAGGCACGAAAGCGUGGGGAGCAAACAGG